rnacentral:rRNA from 1 species
AAAUAGAUCCUGAAACCGUAUGCUUACAAAAAGUAGGAGCCCGCAAGGGUGACUGCGUACCUUUUGUAUAAUGGGUCAGCGACUUACAUUCAGUGGCAAGGUUAACCGAAUAGGGAAGCCGUAGAGAAAUCGAGUCCGAAUAGGGCGAAUUAGUCGCUGGGUGUAGACCCGAAACCAAGUGAUCUAUCCAUGGGCAGGAUGAAGGUGCCGUAACAGGUACUGGAGGUCCGAACCGACUAAUGUUGCAAAAUUAGCGGAUGACCUGUGGAUAGGGGUGAAAGGCUAAACAAACUUGGAAAUAGCUGGUUCUCUCCGAAAACUAUUUAGGUAGUGCCUCAAGUACUACCGUCGGGGGUAGAGCACUGUUUUGGCUAGGGGGUCAUGGCGACUCACCAGACCAAUGCAAACUCCGAAUACCGACGAGUACAGCUUGGGAGACAGAGCACCGGGUGCUAACGUCCGGACUCAAGAGGGAAACAACCCAGACCGCCAGCUAAGGUCCCUAAAAUUGGCUAAGUGGGAAACGAAGUGGGAAGGCUAAAACAGUCAGGAUGUUGGCUUAGAAGCAGCCAUCAUUUAAAGAAAGCGUAAUAGCUCACUGAUCGAGUCGUCCUGCGCGGAAGAUGUAACGGGGCUAAGCCAGUUACCGAAGCUGCGGAUUUGCAAUUUAUUGCAAGUGGUAGGAGAGCGUUCUGUAAGCCUGUGAAGGUGCGUUGUAAAGCGUGCUGGAGGUAUCAGAAGUGCGAAUGCUGACAUGAGUAGCGUUAAAGGGGGUGAAAAGCCCCCUCGCCGUAAGCGCAAGGUUUUCUACGCAACGUUCAUCGGCGUAGAGUGAGUCGGCCCCUAAGGCGAGGCAGAGAUGCGUAGUUGAUGGGAAACAGGUCAAUAUUCCUGUACCGAUGUGUAGUGCGAUGUGGGGACGGAGAAGGUUAGCUCAGCAGACUGUUGGAUAUGUCUGUUCAAGCCUGUAGUCGUGCCUGGUAGGUAAAUCCGCCGGGCUUAGAUGAGGGGUGAUAACGAGGAUGCUUGCAUCCGAAGUGAGUGAUACCCUGCUUCCAGGAAAAGCCACUAAGCUUCAGCUACACACGACCGUACCGCAAACCGACACUGGUGCGCGAGAUGAGUAUUCUAAGGCGCUUGAGAGAACUCAGGAGAAGGAACUCGGCAAAUUGACACCGUAACUUCGGAAGAAGGUGUGCCCUUAGUAUGUGAACCUGAACAAGGGGAGCAGAAUGAGGCCUCAGAGAAUCGGUGGCUGCGACUGUUUAAUAAAAACGCAGCACUCUGCAAACACGAAAGUGGACGUAUAGGGUGUGACGCCUGCCCGGUGCUGGAAGAUUAAAUGAUGGGGUGCAAGCUCUUGAUUGAAGUCCCAGUAAACGGCGGCCGUAACUAUAACGGUCCUAAGGUAGCGAAAUUCCUUGUCGGGUAAGUUCCGACCUGCACGAAUGGCGUAACGAUGGCCACACUGUCUCCUCCUGAGACUCAGCGAAGUUGAAAUGUUUGUGAUGAUGCAAUCUCCCCGCGGAAAGACGGAAAGACCCCAUGAACCUUUACUGUAGCUUUGUAUUGGACUUUGAACAGAUCUGUGUAGGAUAGGUGGGAGGCUUUGAAGCCGGAACGCAAGUUUCGGUGGAGCCAACGUUGAAAUACCACCCUGGUGUGUUUGAGGUUCUAACCUAGGUCCAUUAUCCGGAUCGGGGACAGUGCAUGGUAGGCAGUUUGACUGGGGCGGUCUCCUCCCAAAGCGUAACGGAGGAGUUCGAAGGUACGCUAGUUACGGUCGGACAUCGUGAUGAUAGUGCAAUGGCAUAAGCGUGCUUAACUGCGAGACUGACAAGUCGAGCAGAUACGAAAGUAGGACAUAGUGGUCCGGUGGUUCUGUAUGGAAGGGCCAUCGCUCAACGGAUAAAAGGUACUCUGGGGAUAACAGGCUGAUACCGCCCAAGAGUUCAUAUCGACGGCGGUGUUUGGCACCUCGAUGUCGGCUCAUCUCAUCCUGGGGCUGUAGCCGGUCCCAAGGGUAUGGCUGUUCGCCAUUUAAAGAGGUACGUGAGCUGGGUUUAAAACGUCGUGAGACAGUUUGGUCCCUAUCUUCCGUGGGCGUUG